CCAUUUCCAAAUAUUCUUGUACUGUUUCAUACAGGACGAAAAAACUGGCUAAGUUACUCGUAAGAAUGUUAAUGUGGUUAGUUGGAAAAGCCAUCAUCUUUUUGGCACCACCCCUAUAUACAAAUUAAAGAUCACACCUCCGGAGGACAGGUUGUCAAGUGAAGAGCAAAAGAUACAUUAUGCCUGAAGAAGGCCACAUAGGUGAACAGACGUUUCUUACAUUAUAAAGCUCCAAAACAGGCACAAUCAUCGUCCAUCUCUAUCGUGAUUCAUGAUCAGCAUUAUGCAUUAUUGGGAUCAUUCUUGGAUCCCUUUUCUUGUGCUUCCAGAACUCAUCUUUCUUUCCUUUCUUCUUAACUUUCAACAAACCCAUCCGGCUAUUAAUUAUACCAAGUAUGGCACUCCGGUCCCUCCUGUUCUUUACCUUAGCUUUUACCUCCAGUAAUGCCCUAAGCUUUUGAUAAGACUUGGCAUCUGGCACUUGCCCACUUUUCACCAUCUUCUUGUGAUAGAAGAACGCCCUCCUGAAAUCUCGAACACGGAUAAAUGCAUAUAUCAUGGUCAAGUAAGUAACAGAAUCAGGUUUUAAAUCGAGAGCUGCCAUUUCUUUCAAUAGCUGUGGCAACUUUGAGUGUUGCCCUCCCCGACCAUAUGCGUUCAUCAGCAUAUUGUAUGUUAUCACUGUUGGCUGCAAGCCAAACUUCCCAAAUUCAGAUAUCACAUCUCUUGCUUCCACAUAGUGACCUUGUUUAGCAAACCCAUCANNNGUUGAAUGUGACCCUUGUCCCUUCAACUUUUUCUCUUAUCAUCAAUUUCCAAAUUUUCAUUAGCAUUUGGGCGUCACCAGCACGUCUAAAUGCAUCCAGCAGAGNNNNNNNUUCUACAGAGGGUUUGACUCCUUCUCUUUGCAUAUGCUCAAAUGCAAUGUAGGCUUUUUCAUGCCAACCACUAACUGAAUAAGCAUGGAUAAGAGCUGUAUAAGAAUGUGAAGUAGGUUUUAUACCAACUUUCUUCAUUUUCAAGAAUGCAUCCGCAGCCGUAUCACUCAUUUUCUUCUGCCUCCCAUAUGCGCUUAUUAAGCAUGUAUAUGAUCUGGCAUCAGGCUGUAAUCCUGCAUCCUGCAUUUCUAGCAGCAAUUUCUCAACUAUCUCAGG
rnacentral:misc_RNA from 1 species